CAGGUCCCAGAACACGAGGCGGAAGGCAACAUUGACUUUUUCUUUUCUUUUUCUAUUCAUUUUCUUUUGUUUUUCUUUUGAACCAUUGGGGACAAUGUUUCAUUUAAGUAUGGGGGGGGAAAACCGUGUUCUUUCUAUCUUCCCUUUUUCAAGUAUGUACUUUUCUUUUCAUUGUUAUUUCCCUAUAAAUUUUUUUUUAUUAUAAUAUAGAUUUAUUUUAAGUUAAGUCCCUAGUGUGAAAAAUUUCUAUUAUCUAUUCCCU
rnacentral:lncRNA from 1 species